AGAACGAACGCUGGCGGCAUGCCUAACACAUGCAAGUCGAACGCUCAUCCGGCUUCGGCCGGAUGGGAGUGGCGCACGGGUGAGUAGCGCGUGGGAACCUGCCCUGUUGUGGGGGAUAACCGAGGGAAACUUCGGCUAAUACCGCAUGCGCCCCGGCGAAAGCCGGGGGAAAGAUUUAUCGCAGCAGGAGGGGCCCGCGUCGGAUUAGGUAGUUGGUGGGGUAACGGCCCACCAAGCCGAUGAUCCGUAGCUGGUCUGAGAGGAUGAUCAGCCACACUGGGACUGAGACACGGCCCAGACUCCUACGGGAGGCAGCAGUGGGGAAUAUUGGACAAUGGGGGCAACCCUGAUCCAGCAAUGCCGCGUGAGUGAUGAAGGCCUUAGGGUUGUAAAGCUCUUUCGCCCGCGACGAUGAUGACGGUAGCGGGAGAAGGAGCCCCGGCUAACUUCGUGCCAGCAGCCGC
rnacentral:rRNA from 1 species